UCAUGUGACCUUUGCAAAACUCGGCGUGUCAGAGACUAUUGUCCACGAGGAGAGCGCGAUCUAGUGUAAACAGGCAGACGUUGUUAUUGGGGAAAAAAGAUCAAUGGUCAACUUUUGAUAUUGUUUGAACCGGAAGGUAAAGAAGAUGUAUGAUCGUCGAAUAAAUCUGGAUUCAGAAACACACCUU
ensembl:ncRNA T01B6.8 ncRNA